rfam:Desulfuromonas soudanensis strain WTL chromosome, complete genome.
CGCGGGGUGGAGCAGUCUGGUAGCUCGUCGGGCUCAUAACCCGAAGGUCGAAGGUUCAAAUCCUUCCCCCGCAA